UUACUCCCGCACCAGCCGUCACACAUCCCUAGGCCUCCUUGCACUUUGUUCCCCGCCCGCUCGUCCCUCGGUUCUCCUCAUCCCUCCUCUGCUCUAGCUGCUACGCCGCCUCUCCCUCCACAACGCGGCCAGCUCGAGCUCCACCUCCUCCAUCUCAAGGAGACGACUGCACAAGACGUCCGGCGCCGUCACCAUCGUCCUUGGCACAACUGAAGCACGUGAUGCUUGCUGCGUCGUCGUCGUCCUUUCUCUCGCUGCCACCACCACCCUGACCGAGCCAUCCCCGUGCUCUCGCUGAGCCUUCCCCUCCUGGGUCACUGACCCAGGUGGCGGAGAAGGAGAGGGUGAGCUCGAGGGGCUGGCAAGGGAGGAGGGGGUUGACGGGGUCUGAUCUGGUGGCGGCAGAUUGGAGCUCGAGCUCGAGGCGGAGACAAGGAAGGUCGGAAAAUGAAGAGAUGGGAUGAAGGUGCUCGAGGCGAAGGACCGCUCAUCGGCGAGUUCUAGCUGGAGGCGGCGAGAUCCCUCUCCCAAUCUCUCAUUCUCUUGAUUUUCCCUCUCCAAACCUUCAUCUCUGUUCUCGCGCGUUGCACACGUCUGCUCCCCCUCACCACAACCAGCGUCGGUAGCCUGCAUCCCCCAUCAAGCGUGCAUCAGCGCUGGAUGUGCAAGCUUCAACGACCGCAUCAACAACGAUGGUGGGCAGGAAAGGAGUGAGAUGGCGGUCAUGAUUUUCAGUCUGAAGUUGCUUUUACGAACUUUCAAUCAAUUCAAGCAGGGGAAGAUAAUGGUAACCAAGGCCACCUUUGUUGGUCAUGGAUUUAGAAGAAAGCCAACAGACUAUGAAAAGGUUCUCAUGGGACUCACCUUGAACUGAAAUCUUUGUUCAACCUUGGUAUAAUUCUGUGACAGAAACCCCAGGUGGUCCAAUAUUUUGUUUGUUUCUUUAGUGCCUGUUGUUUUUGGUUUGUUAUAACCGAAUUUACAGCCUACAAUACAUGCAUUUCUUUUAUUCUGUUUUGGUGGGUUCUAAACUAUGAAAUUAGGAAACAUAUAGUUUAUUAGUUUGACACCUGCUCCAGGAUAAAUAAUGGAAGGAAGAAUUCUUACUUCAUGGUGACACACAUGACUGUCAAACUGCAGAAAAUACUUGAUUUAUGUACUGUAUGAUUCCCGAGUUCCUUUGCUUUCAAGAUUUAAGUGGGGAGAACUUAUGAGCUUAUAAAUGAGUGAUUCGGAUUUGUCUAAUUGAGAACUAGCAAAUCAUGAAGAGUAAGGGUUUUCUACUCGUAUAGACUGGUUGGUCGAUUGCAUCUUGAUACAUCAUACCUUAAACAUCAUAACUUCUAAUUGGGGGACCAGGUUGAUGCCCUGUCUGAUGAGAAUCUUUUGGGAUGCACGGGCAUAUGCUUCCACCACUAUAUACAAUGAGUACAACAUUUAACAUGGGCAUGAUGUUAAAUUAGAGUGAAUCUAAGGGCCUACUGGGUGCAUAAUCUGUGGCUAAAUUAUUUUAGAUUUUUUGUGUGUGUGCGAGGAGCAGUUCUACUACCUCUUCAUGGUUCGUCAUUUACAUAUUAGUUGGAUGAUAUCUCUUUAUUCUGUUGUUGUGACUGACCAGCUGCUUACUUAUAUGGAUAACUUGAACUGAAAGCAAGAGUAGAAGCCCAUGAGAUGAGACACAAGGAAAAUAUGCAUGUUAUUUUCAAUUCUAAUGUUUCAGUUCCAUAUUCUCCUACUUGACUGGAUAUGUGAUGUAUAUACUGAUUUCCUGCUACUAUUUGAGUUAUAACACUUUUUAUGUUUCUCUGGCAGAAAAUGGCACAAUCAUGAUUCAGUUUGGUCAGCAAGUACCUAAUUACAAGUCAUCAGCUAGCGAUUCUUCCCAAGAAGUGUUCGGAAUGAGAAAUGAAGCUUUAAUGAGAAGAAUAUUGAUGUUGUACAAUAGCCGUAAGAUCACAAGAGAUUGACCUUUUGGGUGGUCUAAUACUUCCUAUAUGGGCACAUAGAAAAGCCACUACGCAAGUAGUUCAGUCUUUUCUUUAAAAACUGCUUUCUCUUACUACACAACCAGGCUCAAUUCAUAUGUAUGUAAAUUUUACAUCAUACUUCUUCCAUUCCCAAAACAAGGGUAUUAUUUCUCCCCUUCCCUAAUCAGUGUUUCAGACCUUUUUUGAGUUGAGAAUCUCACCUACAGCACAUCAAUUGUCUGUAAAUAAAUGUAACAUGAAUCACUCUCCAAAAUCCUUGAAACUUGAGCUUCGAUGAAUAUGAAGGUCUUUGUGUUGGCAUACACUCCUUUAUUCCAAAUGGUGCUGAUAUAAAAACACCAUCAGGGAUUCCAUGUGUACCAUGUAUGUCCAUAAAAACAGCAUUGAUAUAUCAGCACACUAAUGUGCUGAUCUAAAAACAUUUUUUUCUAAGUGACGGUUUCGAGUCGGCAAAAAUAUAGUGUAUGUCCAUAAUGUGAUGGCAACUGAGUAUCCAUGUGUACAGGGAAGGCAUCAGUCUAUAUCGAAAAACACCAGCAAUUUUAUCCUAAUUGUUAAUGAAAUUGUUGUUUAUUGCUUCAUAUUGCCAAUUGCACCUGCUUACAUAUAUCCUUAAGUUUACUACCUCCUGUCCUUAGAAGCAUCAGUUUGUCCUUAUUUUUUGUAUGCUCUGUUUCAUCUAAAUUGCGUACAUCCAUUUCCAACAGAACUAGGGGAGUCCGUAUAAAUUAGAUAUGUUCCUUUUCUUCUCAACAGGUGUCUAUUAUGAGUACUGCAAUUUAGACAUGAUUAAGAAUGGUACUGGAGUUUGCCUAUCUAUCAUGGUUUUUUAGUUCUGCUUAGUUGAUGGCCUCACGUAAUGUGCCUCCAUGGAUGGAGCUCUCCGGGUCUGCCUUGUUGAAUGUUCUACCAUGGAUGGAGCUUUUACUGAUACCCUUUCUGAAUAGCUGAUAUUUAUUGUACCUCAUUUUCGCUCCUAGUUGGCGGGGAACCCCUCCUGGUCGAGCCCCUAGCCCCCCACCUUGGCAACUGCCUGGAGAGGUGGAUAGCUCGAGGACAACUCCCAAUGUGCCGAGGAGAUGGGAACAUGUGAGCUUCUUUGUUUCUUUCUUCCUUCUUUCCUCAUCUUCCCAACCUACAAUUUGUUUUCUAAUUUCUCUACAAGUUUUUCACGGGGUAUUUUAGGCUAUAGCUUGAUUUGGCACUAUCGUGAAGUGGGGUAAUUUUCCAUAUUGAUAUGGUUGGUAUGCACAUCCCACUAAGAAGCAAGGCGCAAUAAAAGCUCAUUCUCCAUUUUGCAAAGGUUCCUUUUAGUAACUGAUGCGUCCAUGUUGAUGCAGCUACAACUAUGGUAAUGUAGUUUAUACUGCAGGGUCCAUGAUGCCUUUCUAAGUAAUUUUACCGCAGAUAUUGUAGGGUGUUGUGUCGCUUAGCAAACUUGACUCCAGUAUAUGAAACUUUCAGAGUUCUAAUUCGUCUGUGUUAUAACAGAUUUGGUUUGAUCAAUUCAAAUUUCUUAUUAAGGCAUGUAUACACAAAUUGCAGGGUGUAUUAGCGCUUAGGAAACUUGCUUUUAGUAUGCAUUAUUUUCAAGCUUCAAGGCGUAUUAUUAUUCAUUUUUAUGUUAGUUGUCUGUACUUGGCCUACAUUUUUGUUUUCAAAUAGUUCUGCCUCUCAAUUUGAUAUUUCUAUUUGCUUUUGCUUAGUAAUAUGAUGUAUUGUUUUCUUGCUCUAGGCCUACUUGUGUUCAAGGUUUAAUUGAUUGUGUUUCUUAAGGGUGUUUUUUAAUGGCAUCAACAUGUGGCACUAAUUCCAUUCUGCAUUGUACUGUGAUUUUUCCAAGCAACACCAUUAUGCCAAAAUUUUGCUCCAUUUUAAGUUUCACUUGGAUCACCAGCCUACUUUUUCUCACCUCAUCAUCAUGGCCUUUCUUAAGGGUGUUCAGGAAUUUUUGUCCUUCUGUAAAUUAGUGGCAUUAAAUUAGUGGUCUUCUAUUCGUGUUGCGAAACCCAAUAUGGCAUCUCACCAUUCCCCAUGAUCCACAUGUUAACUGUGGAUUUAUUUAAUGAUAAUAGGAUAUCAAUUGCCUUUUCUUCAGGAUAAGCUGACACCUAAUAAGGAUUAGGAGAACAACAGGUAUGCUAAGAGACAACCUUUUGGGGUUAAGGAUAUAAACAACAACAGGGCUUAUGAGGCCGAAGAGAGCUCGGGUGGCGUCUUUUGGUUCUUGAAGACCUGCACGUUCCUGGUGGAGUGGAGCAAAAUAAUUUGGAGGCCUUAAAGCUACUGCACUUCAUCUAGUUAGGAUCAAUUCUUUGUUUCAGUUUGAAAUAUUCCCCAGUUCCUCCUAUUUGAUUGAUUCAUCUGAUGGACAUUUUGUCAGGCAAAUAAACAAAAGGCAUAUGUAUUGUUAUGAGUGAAGCCAUCCAUACUCCCAUGUGGGAUUCAAGAAAUAGAGAAAUGUUAUUGUUCUUCUA